rnacentral:sRNA from 1 species
UAUUCUGCCCUACAGGGAAGGAUGAGAAGCUUCGACUAAGGUUCGACUCGAGCGCAGCGAGAGAACGUUGCCGCAGGCAACGGCCCGAAGGGCGAGGAGAGAUAGCGACGAGUAAUCCUUCCCCCACCACCA